UACGGAGGGGACUAGCGUUGUUCGGAAUUACUGGGCGUAAAGCGCACGUAGGCGGAUUGUUAAGUCCGGGGUGAAAUCCUGGAGCUCAACUCCAGAACUGCCUUUGAUACUGGCGAUCUUGAGUCCGGGAGAGGUGAGUGGAACUGCGAGUGUAGAGGUGAAAUUCGUAGAUAUUCGCAAGAACACCAGUGGCGAAGGCGGCUCACUGGCCCGGUACUGACGCUGAGGUGCGAAAGCGUGGGGAGCAAACAGG
rnacentral:rRNA from 1 species